CAAAGACAUCGACAUGAUUUAUUUUCUGAAGCAACGCAACCACGACGCGCGUGAUCUCCUUGGUGGUGGUCGCUGCUGUUGCCGUCUGUGCUGCGGCAGCUUCACUGGACCUCAAGGGGAGCUGCACCGUCAGUUCUCUAGGGAACAAUGUCCUAUAAAAGGAUAAGGCUCUUUCCGGCGACAACAAAAGAAUAACAUCUUUGGAAGAAGCAGCAAGAGAGUUAUCCAUAAGGAAGGGAGUAAAAUGAUUUGGGAUUGAGAAGUGAGACACGAAUCCGACCUUGACUCUGCGUUGCUGUUG